rnacentral:rRNA from 1 species
UGGACAUACGCUGCGCGGGCUCUGUACACACAUGAAAGUCGAACGAUGAUCAGGAGCUUGCUCCUGUGAUUAGUGGCGAACGGGUGAGUAACACGUGAGUAACCUGCCCCUGACUCUGGGAUAAGCGUUGGAAACGACGUCUAAUACUGGAUAUGAUCACUGGCCGCAUGGUCUGGUGGUGGAAAGAUUUUUUGGUUGGGGAUGGACUCGCGGCCUAUCAGCUUGUUGGUGAGGUAAUGGCUCACCAAGGCGACGACGGGUAGCCGGCCUGAGAGGGUGACCGGCCACACUGGGACUGAGACACGGCCCAGACUCAUACGGGAGGCAGCAGUGGGGAAUAUUGCACAAUGGGCGAAAGCCUGAUGCAGCAACGCCGCGUGAGGGAUGACGGCCUUCGGGUUGUAAACCUCUUUUAGUAGGGAAGAGCGAAAGUGACGGGUCCUGCAGAAAGAGCACCGGCUAACUACGUGCUAGCAGCCGCGGUAAUACGUAGGGUGCAAGCGUUGUCGGAAUUAUGGGCGUAAAGAGCUCGUAGGCGGUUUGUCGCGUCUGCUGUGAAAUCCCGAGCUCAACCUCGGCUUGCAGUGGGUACGGGCAGAC